rnacentral:rRNA from 1 species
AGAGUUUGAUCAUGGCUCAGAUUGAACGCUGGCGGCAGGCCUAACACAUGCAAGUCGAGCGCGAAAGCACUUCGGUGUGAGUAAAGCGGCGGACGGGUGAGUAACGCGUAGGAAUCUACCUAGUAGUGGGGGACAACUCGGGGAAACUCGAGCUAAUACCGCAUACGCCCUACGGGGGAAAGCGGGGGACCUUCGGGCCUCGUGCUAUUAGAUGAGCCUGCGUUGGAUUAGCUAGUUGGUGGGGUAAUGGCCUACCAAGGCGACGAUCCAUAGCUGGUCUGAGAGGAUGAUCAGCCACACCGGGACUGAGACACGGCCCGGACUCCUACGGGAGGCAGCAGUGGGGAAUAUUGCGCAAUGGGCGAAAGCCUGACGCAGCCAUGCCGCGUGUGUGAAGAAGACCUUCGGGUUGUAAAGCACUUUCAAUUGGGAGGAAAGGCUCACGACUAAUACUCGUGAGCUGUGACGUUACCUUUAGAAGAAGCACCGGCUAACUCCGUGCCAGCAGCCGCGGUAAUACGGAGGGUGCGAGCGUUAAUCGGAAUUACUGGGCGUAAAGCGCGCGUAGGUGGUCUGUUAAGUCGGAUGUGAAAGCCCCGGGCUCAACCUGGGAACUGCAUCCGAUACUGGCAGACUAGAGUGCGGGAGAGGGAGGUAGAAUUCCACGUGUAGCGGUGAAAUGCGUAGAUAUGUGGAGGAAUACCAGUGGCGAAGGCGGCCUCCUGGCUCGACACUGACACUG